GACGUAGGGCGCGAGCGUUGUCCGGAUUUAUUGGGCGUAAAGAGCUCGUAGGCGGCUUGUCGCGUCGACCGUGAAAACUUGGGGCUCAACCCCAAGCCUGCGGUCGAUACGGGCAGGCUCGAGUUCGGUAGGGGAGACUGGAAUUCCGGGUGUAGUGGUGAAAUGCGUAGAUAUCCGGAGGAACACCAGUGGCGAAGGCGACUUCCUGGCCUGUUCUUGACGCUGAGGCGCGAAAGCUGGGGGAGCAAACGGG
rnacentral:rRNA from 1 species